GACAGAGGGUGCAAACGUUGUUCGGAUUUACUGGGCGUAAAGCGCGUGUAGGCGGCUUUGCAAGUCGGAUGUGAAAGCCCACGGCUCAACCGUGGAAGUGCAUCCGAAACUGCAUGGCUUGAGUCUCGGAGAGGAAGGUGGAAUGCUUGGUGUAGAGGUGAAAUUCGUAGAUAUCAAGCAGAACACCUGCGGCGAAGGCGGCAUCCUGGACCAAUAUUGACGCUGAGGAGCGAAAGCCAGGGGAGCAAACGGG
rnacentral:rRNA from 1 species